rnacentral:rRNA from 1 species
AAAGUGGCGAACGGCUGAGUAACACGUGGGCAACCUGCCCUUUGCACUGGGAUAGCCUCGGGAAACCGAGGUUAAUACCGGAUACUCCAUAUUUGUCGCAUGGCGAAUAUGGGAAAGCUCCGGCGGCAAAGGAUGGGCCCGCGGCCUGUUAGCUAGUUGGUGGGGUAGUGGCCUACCAAGGCAAUGAUGGGUAGCCGGGUUGAGAGACCGACCGGCCAGAUUGGGACUGAGACACGGCCCAGACUCCUACGGGAGGCAGCAGUG